GAAUGAACCAUCAGCUCUGUAUCUGGAGAGAGCCUUUAUGGGUUUACCUGGAAGACCAUUCGGCAGCCAUGUGGUAUUUGCUCCAAGCAGCCAUAAUAAAUAUGAAGGACUGUCUUUCCCCGUUAUCUACGACGCAUUGUUGGACAUUGAGCGCUCAGCGAACCAAGAGAAGGUUUGGAAUGAAGUUAAACGACAAAUUAGCAUAGAAGCAUUCACAGUCCAUGCUGCUGCCAUGACACUUGAACCGCCUGGAUGAUGCACACAUGAGAUAAGAUGAGCCAGAGACUUUGUCAAACUUAAUGUGCCUUGACUGAAUAAAAGAUUGGACUCACUGAAAAUGUAA